GGGAUUGUGGCUCAGUGGUAGAGCACUUAGCUCCCAUGUGUGAGGCCCUGGGUUCAAUCCUCAGCACCA
rfam:Ictidomys tridecemlineatus contig026812, whole genome shotgun sequence.